UGGCGGACGGGUGAGUAACGCAUGGGCAACCUGGCCUGUACAGGGGGAUAACACUUAGAAAUAGGUGCUAAUACCGCAUAACGGGGGAAGCCGCAUGGCUUUUCCCUGAAAACUCCGGUGGUACAGGAUGGGCCCGCGUCUGAUUAGCCAGUUGGCAGGGUAACGGCCUACCAAAGCGACGAUCAGUAGCCGGCCUGAGAGGGCGGACGGCCACACUGGGACUGAGACACGGCCCAGACUCCUACGGAAGGCAGCAG
rnacentral:rRNA from 1 species